rnacentral:rRNA from 1 species
AUUGAACGCUGGCGGCAGGCCUAACACAUGCAAGUCGAGCGGAUGAAGGGAGCUUGCUCCUGGAUUCAGCGGCAGACGGGUGAGUAAUGCCUAGGAAUCUGCCUGGUAGUGGGGGAUAACGUCCGGAAACGGGCGCUAAUACCGCAUACGUCCUGAGGGAGAAAGUGGGGGAUCUUCGGACCUCACGCUAUCAGAUGAGCCUAGGUCGGAUUAGCUAGUUGGUGGGGUAAAGGCCUACCAAGGCGACGAUCCGUAACUGGUCUGAGAGGAUGAUCAGUCACACUGGAACUGAGACACGGUCCAGACUCCUACGGGAGGCAGCAGUGGGGAAUAUUGGUCAAUGGGCGAAAGCCUGAUCCAGCCAUGCCGCGUGUGUGAAGAAGGUCUUCGGAUUGUAAAGCACUUUAAGUUGGGAGGAAGGGCAGUAAGUUAAUACCUUGCUGUUUUGACGUUACCAACAGAAUAAGCACCGGCUAACUUCGUG